UUCUCCCUGAAGGGUCGUGGUAGACCACCACGUUGAUAGGUCUCCGGUGUAAGUGCAGUAAUGUAUUCAGCUGAGAGAUACUAAUAACCCGUUCGGCUUGAUCUU
rnacentral:rRNA from 1 species